ensembl:lncRNA
GACACAAGAUAUUUUUAAAGUGUUGUUUUGUUUUUGAAAUAGUCUUAUGUAGCCCAUGUAGUGGAAGCAUUUUACUUUUUUUGUUUUUUCUCUUCAAGACAGGUUUCUCUGUGUAGACCAGGCUGUCCUUGAACUCAACAGAGAUCCACAGGCCUCUGCUUUAAUCCCAGUGCUGGGAUUAAAGGUGUGGGCCACCACUUCCUGGCUUGCACUUCUCAUUCUAAGUGGUCAACCAUUUGAAUACCUGGUCCCUGGCUGGUGGUGCUGUUUGGGAGACUGUGGCACCUUUAGGGUGUGGUAUCCAGCUGGAUGAAGAUGGAUGCUUUAGGAUGGGCUGUGAAGAGUUGCAGCCAGGCCCAGCUUGCUGUCUGGUGGGUUUCUGAUGCUCCCAGAUGUGCACAAGCAGGCUGAGGCUCCUGCUGCUGCGAGCCACGGGCUGCUCUGCUCUGCCAUAUUUUCUCCCGUGCUGGACCACAUCCCCCUGACAACCAUGAGCCACAACAGGAUUUUCCUCAUGCAGGCUCUUGUCACAGGAGGCAAGUGCCAGCCUCUUUUCAGGGUGCAUCCCCAGUGAUCUAACCAUCUCACUAGUUCUUGGCACUUCCCAAUAUUGCCAUGUAGGCCACUAAGCCGUUAACAAGUGCUUACUCAAUAUGUUUUCACGGACUAAGUUUUCAGGGACCCGAGUUGAGGUUUGGUUGUCAUUUUUUGGAGGGGGGGCAGGGGUGGGGUAGACACAGUUUUACACAGCUGCUUUCAAAAUUACUAUGUAGCUGAGGCUGGCCUUGGACAACUCUGCCCUCACCUCUGCAGUGCUGGGAUUACAUGUAUGUACUACUGUGCCCUGUUCCAAAUUGAGGUUUGAUUUUAUAAACUGGACAUGUGAGCUGAAUGCGGGGCGAGUUGUUUCAAGAACUGACGCAUACGAGAAACCCCGAGGAGCAGCCUGAGGGAGUUGAGCACCACACUCUUUUCCCUGGGGGGGUGGGGAAGGGUGUAAGGCUAAUGCUGUGGCACUCAGGGGAGGUGGAGACUCUGGGGGAGGCUGUUGCAGGCAUGCUGCCAGGCUGGGCUCCCUCACGCAGUCUGAGUAAGCUCCUCUGAGCUGAACUGUAAACCCGGUCACACAGCUAUAGUUAGUCCUUUGUGGGAGUCACUGCUGUCCCUGAGUCAUGCUAGACUUCUGCAGACAGCUGGCUCUGGAGACCUGGGUCAGUUUCAAAGGGAGAGGGCAGGACCAGGCAUCAGACCCAUGAUGUCCAUCUGUGUAUGACAUAUGGACGGAAGGACAGUUAACCUCAGCACGAGAACAGUGCAGCCGGUGCCCAGACACUUCAGGGUCCAGCACUUGGCUCUCUGCCCUUACCGAGAGUGAGACCCAGGCCACGGACUAGCUUCUAACUUCAGCUCCUCCUCUGCCUUCAGCUCCUCCUCUGCCUUGGUCCCCAGGGCCGGUGGUUACCCAAACUGGGUCCCAAGCAAAGGAGUCUUGAGGAGGGAAUUCAGGCCAGGGAGAGGACUCUGUUUCAGAUGCUUCAAGCCACACACUGCUGUGUCCUAUUCUAGCUGCCUCAGGUUUCUGUCCAGGCCAACAAGUGCCUCUGGGUUUUUCAAGGGUUUCUCUCCUUACAUGGGGACACUGGUGUAGGGGGUUAAAUAACGGCCCUUCCCCCAGUUCACAUCUACCCAGAACGCAAAUGAACUUAUUGGAGGAGAAACUUUUGCAGAUGUAAUGGGUUAAAGACCUUUCCAAGUCAUCUUGGAUUUAGGUAGGUCCAAAUCUUGGGCCUGGUGUCACUCUAAGAUGAGAGGUGCCAGCUAUGUGACAGGCUGAUGUGAUCCAAGGAGCCCAGGUACAAGGCUACACAAAGUACCAGGCACAGGCAACACAAGAUACCGUCUCAAAACACAAUAGAGAGGCCAUAGCCAGGUGAGGCCAGAGAUGACUGACACCACCACAAGGCAAGGAUGCCUCGGAGCCAACAGUAGCUGGAGGCAGCAAGGGAGGCCUGUCUUCUCUAGGCCCCAGGAUUACAACUCUACCCACACCGAAUUCCAGCCUUCUGUCUUGAGAACCACAGGAUAUCUGUUGUUCAGACAGACAUACAUGGAGAGAAACACGCACCUGUGUCCACACAGCUGUUUGUGAUCAGGACACAGUUCCUUGGCAUAUUUGAGGGUGUAUCCCUCUGCGUUUGCACAGCCAAGGCCAGGUUGGCUCGGUAGUCACCCAGAAAGAGGGAACCAGGUUGAGGCCUCCAGCUACCAUCCAGCUUUCUCUAUGUGUUUGUGCAUUUCUGGAGGUUAUCUAACAAACGUUGAAUUCUUUGCCCUCCUGCCUUCGUCUUCCAAGUGCUGGUAUUACAGGUGUGUAUGACCACACAAGCUUCCGGAAGACUCUUUUAAGGCAGGAAAGAAGAAAAAAAAAAUCAUUUACCACGGCAAACUCUCAACCCACAGGGCUGGAUCGGUGCUGACUGUGGCAAGUCUCCUCAGAAGUGAAGAUGACCCCGGGGGUGGGGUGGGUGGGGGUGACAGAGGGGAGGGUGUCACCUACAGCGAGGUUCCGAAUAAGGAGCUUUGCCACCUGGAAUUUGUUUCAAAAAAAUGGAAAGAAGAAAUCCUCUGGAAACGUCCAACCUUUUGGCUAAAAAAACAAGAAAAAAGAAAGAAAGGGGUGAAACAGUAAGCAAAAUACUCCCACCAAGGGCUUGCAAACAUCAGUUUAGAGGAUUUAUUGCCGCCCUCCCCCACACAAAAAAGUAAAUACAGAACCAAUCUGCUUCCGGAUGACCAGCUUCGCCCGCGGUGCUCACCUCACCUCGUACCCACGGCCGUCAGUCAGAGGAGCCGGCCAUCGCGUCCGCGGCGUCCUCCACACGGCGAAGGCGCCUUCGUGCCAGCACCCUGCUCCGCGCCGCGCCGCGCCGACCGCCCGGGCCUCGGGAGCGCCGCCCGCCCUGGCCGCAGCCAUUUGGAACGGCGCAGACAAAGGGCGAGCCCCGCCGCCGCCGUCGCCGCGAUCCACCCGGCGCCUCCCCGCCGCUCGCUCGCUCGCUCGCCCGGCCCGGUCAGCCAUUCCCACCCGCGCGGAGAAGCCGAGCGGCGGCCGCCGGCUCGCCUGCUCCUCGGCCUCUGGCCGCUCGCAGCCAUUGGCCGCGCCUUUUAAGAGGCGGC